CAUAGUCGGUCAAGCAGCCGCCAUUAAACUCCAGAGGAAGAUUUGCACUGGUGGUAACGAGUGCAAACUGCUACACCCAACAUGAAUGAAAAUGCCCAUGCGUUGUGUGAAAUGGUGGAAAAAGUCCUAUUUCACGGAGUUACCUUUUCAGUAUCAUUUUGACAUUAAGCAAUGUUCCGGCGUAAAACAACAGAUGACACCGCAGCGGUCCAACAAGACCGAACUCACUGCGUACCAGCCAGACCUCAGACCACGGUGCCGAGGAGCUCUUACGGAGUCCACCAGGACAAAGAGAAAUUCAUACAGCAAGGCAGAGUGUGGAACGCAGUAUGUAUCUAAAAAUGGCGGACGGAGGACGGAUCUGAGGACAAAGUCAUGAAGCCGACACUCCACAGAAUAAGAGUCACAUUUGUGUCAGACUCUUCUGGAACGUUCUGACGUCCGUGAUGAGGACAGAGAUGCAACUGUGUCUGCAUCCAGGACCUACUGCCAGUCAUCCAGAUGUAGCUAAAGAAAGAAGCAGCUGAUGGAGGAAUGCAGAGAGUACUGGCAGCAGAGGAGGAGGCAUUCUGGGAGGAUGGCAGCUAUGAGGGGGUGUCAGGAUGGACCCCAAGUUCCUCCAACCAGGAGCUCAGUGACAUCAGGACUACAUUACAGGAAGAGAUGCCAGGUCCACGCUACGGGAGAGAUGUUGGGCCUGUCCUGAACGCAGCAUAAUGUUCAUGUUUGGACAAAAAAACACUGCCAGAUGGUCCAGAAUGGACAAGCAUUUAUG